AGAGUUUGAUCCUGGCUCAGGAUAAACGCUGGCGGCGCACAUAAGACAUGCAAGUCGGACGAACUUAAUCGUUAGUUUACUAAUGAAGCGGUUAGUGGCGGACUGGUGAGUAACACGUAAGCAACCUGCCUAUUAGAGGGGAACAACAGUUAGAAAUGACUGCUAAUACCGCAUAUGCCAUAAGUAUCGCAUGAUACAAGUGGGAAAGGAGCAAUCCGCUAAUAGAUGGGCUUGCGUCUGAUUAGAUAGUUGGUGGGGUAACGGCCUACCAAGUCGACGAUCAGUAGCCGAGUUGAGAGACUCUACGGCCACAUUGGGACUGAGAUACGGCCCAGACUCCUACGGGAGGCAGCAGUCGGGAAUAUUGCGCAAUGGAGGAAACUCUGACGCAGUGACGCCGCGUGCAGGAAGAAGGUUUUCGGAUUGUAAACUGCUUUAGACAGGGAAGAAAAAGACAGUACCUGUAGAAUAAGCUCCGGCUAACUACGUGCCAGCAGCCGCGGUAAUACGUAGGGAGCAAGCGUUAUCCGGAUUUAUUGGGUGUAAAGGGUGCGUAGACGGGAAAAUAAGUUAGUUGUGAAAUCCCCAUGCUUAACAUGGGAACUGCAACUAAAACUGUUUUUCUUGAGUGCUGGAGAGGAAAGUGGAAUUCCUAGUGUAGCGGUGAAAUGCGUAGAUAUUAGGAGGAACACCAGUGGCGAAGGCGACUUUCUGGACAGUAACUGACGUUGAGGCACGAAAGUGUGGGGAGCAAACAGGAUUAGAUACCCUGGUAGUCCACACCGUAAACGAUGGAUACUAGGUGUAGGGUGUGAUAAACGCUCUGUGCCGUCGCAAACGCAGUAAGUAUCCCACCUGGGGAGUACGGCCGCAAGGUUGAAACUCAAAGGAAUUGACGGGGGCCCGCACAAGCAGUGGAGUAUGUGGUUUAAUUCGACGCAACGCGAAGAACCUUACCAGGGCUUGACAUAUACAGGAAUAUGCUAGAGAUAGUAUAGCUCUUCGGAGUCUGUAUACAGGUGGUGCAUGGUUGUCGUCAGCUCGUGUCGUGAGAUGUUGGGUUAAGUCCCGCAACGAGCGCAACCCCUGUUCUUAGUUGCCAGCGAGUAAUGUCGGGAACUCUAAGAAGACUGCCGGUGAUAAAUCGGAGGAAGGUGGGGACGACGUCAAAUCAUCAUGCCCUUUAUGUCCUGGGCUACACACGUACUACAAUGGCUGUAACAAAGGGAAGCGAAGCCGCGAGGUGGAGCAAAACCCAAAAAAGCAGUCUCAGUUCGGAUUGAAGGCUGAAAUUCGCCUUUAUGAAGCCGGAAUUGCUAGUAAUGGCAGGUCAGCAUACUGCCGUGAAUACGUUCCCGGGCCUUGUACACACCGCCCGUCACACCAUGAGAGUUGGGAAUACCCGAAGCCUGUGAGCUAACUUUUAGAGGCAGCAGUCGAAGGUAGAAUCAAUGAUUGGGGUGAAGUCGUAACAAGGUAGCCGUAUCGGAAGGUGCGGCUG
rnacentral:rRNA from 1 species